rnacentral:rRNA from 1 species
UACGUAGGGCGCAAGCGUUGUCCGGAAUUAUUGGGCGUAAAGAGCUCGUAGGCGGCUCGUCGCGUCGACCGUGAAAACCCGCAGCUUAACUGCGGGCCUGCGGUUGAUACGGGCGGGCUAGAGUUCGGUAGGGGAGACUGGAAUUCCUGGUGUAGCGGUGAAAUGCGCAGAUAUCAGGAGGAACACCGGUGGCGAAGGCGGGUCUCUAGGCCGAUACUGACGCUGAGGAGCGAAAGCGUGGGGAGCGAACAGG